UACAGAGGUCCCAAGCGUUGUUCGGAUUUACUGGGCGUACAGGGAGCGUAGGCGGUUUGGUAAGCCCUCUGUGAAAUCUUCAGGCUUAACCUGGAAAAGUCGGAGGGGACUGCCGGGCUAGAGGACGGGAGAGGAGCGCGGAAUUCCCGGUGUAGCGGUGAAAUGCGUAGAGAUCGGGAGGAAGGCCGGUGGCGAAGGCGGCGCUCUGGAACGUUUCUGACGCUGAGGCUCGAAAGCGUGGGGAGCAAACAGG
rnacentral:rRNA from 1 species